rnacentral:rRNA from 1 species
AUUCCAGCUCCAAUAGCGUAUAUUAAAGUUGUUGCAGUUAAAAAGCUCGUAGUUGGAUUUCGGGCGGGGUUGGCCGGUCCGCCGUUUCGGUGUGCACUGGCUGGUUUCGUCUUAUUGUCGAGGACGCGCUUCUGGCCUUUACUGGUCGGGACGCGGAGUCGGCGCAGUUACUUUGAAAAAAUUAGAGUGUUCAAAGCGGGCAUACGCUUGAAUAUAUUAGCAUGGAAUAACACUAUAGGACUUCUGUUCUAUUUUGUUGGUCUUCGGGACGGGAGUAAUGAUUAAGAGGAACAGUUGGGGGCAUUCGUAUUUCAUUGUCAGAGGUGAAAUUCUUGGAUUCGGUCAAGACUAACUUAUGCGAAAGCAUUCACCAAGGAUGUCUUCAUCA